CCCACCUACCCACGUCUCCUCCCCCAUUCCCUCUUUAUCUCUCUCUCUCUCUCCCUCCUUCUCUAUUCUUAUUUCCUACCCUCCCUCUCCAACUCGGCCUCGAUUUCUGCCUCCCCCCUCUCCCCCCUUCUCUCUCAGUGCUCGCUGCGCCCAAGGUAGGGUUUCAGAUUGAGAACUCUCUCCCCCUCUCCCCCCUUCUCUCUCAGUGUUCGCUGCUCGCAAGAUAGGGUUCCGAUUGAGAACUGGGUCACCGAGUUGGCUGGUUUCUCAGAAUCGUGGACGAGUCUCAUUGGUUCCACACCAAACCCACUACUCUCGAAUCUGUACGAAGGUAUGAUGAGCUUUGGAUGCCAUUGAUUUCUGAUCUUACGGUUGGAUCAACAUCAACUCAUCAUCCCCCAAUGAUUCUUCCUCCUAUUGAUAUUCAAUGGGUCUGGUUUUGUCACACCUUCAAUCCGGUCUUUUACAGGCAAUACUGUGAUUCAAGGUUCUCAAAAAUCAUAGCAAAACUAUUUUGGACGAAGAGAAUGAAGAGUGCAUUGAAUAGAUGCAGAGAUAUUUGGAUCCAUAGAUACCCAUCUGAGCAGUUCUUGUGGUUUAUAAGCGGUAUGUUAAGCGAUUGCGGAGAAAACUACGAUUCGAAGAAAAAAGAAAUUCUAAUCAAAGACGAGUGCUCUCUGAUUCUGAAACUGUGCGGUGGUUGAACCACACAAUUGAAAAGAUUUGGCCUGUUUGUAUGGAACAGAUUGUUUCACAAAAAAUCCUUCUCCCCGUCAUGCCUUGGUUCUUGCAGCAGUACAAACCAUGGACUGUGCAUUCAUGGGCAAUGUGCAGCAACUAUGAAAUCUCUGUUAAGAGUAACUAUAACUUUGAAAAACCUUUCUUGCACCUUGCCAGGAAGCUUGCAGGGCACGAAGCUGAGCUUGCUGCAGCGGCUAGCCAGCCCCUUCCUGAUGAUGAUGACGAUGCAUUUGACUAAUGCUCAUGACUUUAGCUUUUUGCUAUCAUUUUUCGUGCUCCUUUAGUUAAUAUGAGUUCUAAAAAAAAAAUUUCAACGCUAUCGAAGGAUUUGUGUAUGAGAGGUGAAUGUAUCGCGGAGAAGAGACCAUUUUAGUUAUUCUUUAGCCAUUGUUUGAAGUCUGGUUGUGGUUGUGCUU